GUGGGGGGAAAAAGGGGGGCCCCCCAAAAAAUUUUCCCCCCGGGGGGAAAAAUUUUCCCCCCGGGGGAAAAAUUUUGGGGGGUUUUAAAAACCCCCCAAAAAGGGGGGCCCCCCUUUUAAAAACCCCCGGGGGGUUUUAAAAACCCCCCGGGGGGUUUUCCCCCUUUUUGGGGGGAAAAAGGGGGGCCCCCAAAAAAUUUUCCCCCCGGGGGAAAAA
rnacentral:rRNA from 1 species